AUUGAACGCUGGCGGCAGGCCUAACACAUGCAAGUCGAGCGGUAGCACAGAGAGCUUGCUCUCGGGUGACGAGCGGCGGACGGGUGAGUAAUGUUUGGGAAACUGCCUGAUGGAGGGGGAUAACUACUGGAAACGGUAGCUAAUACCGCAUAACGUCGCAAGACCAAAGUGGGGGACCUUCGGGCCUCAUGCCAUCAGAUGUGCCCAGAUGGGAUUAGCUAGUAGGUGGGGUAACGGCUCACCUAGGCGACGAUCCCUAGCUGGUUUGAGAGGAUGACCAGCCACCCUGGAAAUGAGACACGGUCCCGACUCCUACGGGAGGCAGCAGUGGGGAAUAUUGCACAAUGGGCGCAAGCCUGAUGCAGCCCUGCCGCGUGUGUGAAGAAGGCCUUCGGGUUGUAAAGCACUUUCAGCGGGGAGGAAGGCGGUGAGGUUAAUAACCUCAUCGAUUGACGUUACCCGCAGAAGAAGCACCGGCUAACUCCGUG
rnacentral:rRNA from 1 species